rnacentral:misc_RNA from 1 species
GAUGAAGAACGUAGUGAAAUGCGAUAAGUAAUGUGAAUUGCAGAAUUCCGUGAAUCAUCGAAUCUUUGAACGCACAUUGCGCCCCCUGGUAUUCCGGGGGGCAUGCCUGUCCGAGCGUCAUUGCAACCCUCAAGCACGGCUUGUGUUAUGGGCCCUCGUCCCGCUAUUCUAGUGGACGUGCCCGAAAUGCAGUGAUCGCCGCCGCGACUCCGGCGCCCGAGCGAAUGGGAAUUUAACCACCGCUCAGUGGGCCCGGCCGGUGGCUUCGGUCUCAAACCACAAUUUUCUAAGGUUGACCUCGGAUCAGGUAGGGAUACCCGCUGAACUUAAGCAUAUCAAUAAGCGGAGGA